UUUCGCCAUGUCUACUUCAUGUCAUUUAAAUAAAAAAUGAGGGUAGUUUUGACAUUUUGCUAACCUUUAUGAGUUGUUUGCUGUCAUCCGAUGACACGUAGCCUCUUCCAAUUUUUCCUCCUAAUAUUUGUCGCUUGCUUUCGGUAACACAGAUCCUCUUCCAAAAUUAAUUUUUGAUGCUUUCACUUCUGAUUUGUUAUUCAAAUUUCUGCAUAUUGAUUCCAGCUUCUCUUUGCAGCAUAUGAUAUCUAUGAUUGUUGCUUGAUUUUGGUAUUCAGCAACAUACACAUCCAUCAUACAUUAAGCGAAAGGUUUGAUUGACAAAGUGACGAAAUGUCAAAGAUCGGCUCAAAAAGGUGUGAAACCUGCUAAAGUAUCAAAGGCCAAGAGAAUUGAAGAAGUAAGGGCCUAGUGCGGACCGCACAACAGUGACCGCGGCCGCACUAGGAGGUUCAAAGAUAUGACAUAUUUAGGCUUAAAGUCACGCGGCUGCAGUAGGAUUUUCGCGGUCCGCAGUGAACUUCGCGGCCGCACUCCUACUUUGUGUUGUCCGCGUUCAUAAGGUUCAGAGAGUUGGACAAGGGACCAAAACCAUGCCACGCGGUCCGCGUCCUGUUUGUGCGGACCAUGCCAUACCCUCUACGCGGCUGCGCUGCAUUUUCACGCGGUCCACGUCCUCCAGUUUAGAGAGCUUAAAGUUGAAGUCAAUAGAGCCAGUGCGGCCGUGGUUUCUUUUGUGCAGCCCGCACUGACCCCGCAGGGCUAUUUUUGUCCAGUUUUUCCAGCCCACUAUAAAAAGGACAUUUUACCAUUUUUAGGUCAAGUUUGGUAUUCAGAAACGCACCUGAACUCGUGAGACCGAUAUUGUAGCCAUUUUUGGCACUUUUGCUUCC